CCCCUCUUGGGGUCACAUCAGGAGAGUUCCCAGUACUCUACCGGUCUCGACUAUGGGAGGGAGAAUCAAGCAGAGGCAUACCCAUUCCAUUCCUAGCUUGAGCAGUGGCUAAUGAAUGGAAAGCAAUCUGCUACAAGU
rfam:Ornithorhynchus anatinus chromosome 1, whole genome shotgun sequence.